rnacentral:rRNA from 1 species
UGAGGAAUAUUGGUCAAUGGACGCAAGUCUGAACCAGCCAUGCCGCGUGCAGGAAGACGGCUCUAUGAGUUGUAAACUGCUUUUGUACGAGGGUAAACUCACCUACGUGUAGGUGACUGAAAGUAUCGUACGAAUAAGGAUCGGCUAACUCCGUGCCAGCAGCCGCGGUAAUACGGAGGAUUCAAGCGUUAUCCGGAUUUAUUGGGUUUAAAGGGUGCGUAGGCGGUUUGAUAAGUUAGAGGUGAAAUCCCGGGGCUUAACUCCGGAACUGCCUCUAAUACUGUUAGACUAGAGAGUAGUUGCGGUAGGCGGAAUGUAUGGUGUAGCGGUGAAAUGCUUAGAGAUCAUACAGAACACCGAUUGCGAAGGCAGCUUACCAAACUAUAUCUGACGUUGAGGCACGAAAGCGUGGGGAGCAAACAGG